AGUGAACGCUGGCGGUAGGCCUAACACAUGCAAGUCGAACGGCAGCACAGUAAGAGCUUGCUCUUACGGGUGGCGAGUGGCGGACGGGUGAGGAAUACAUCGGAAUCUGCUUUUUCGUGGGGGAUAACGUAGGGAAACUUACGCUAAUACCGCAUACGACCUACGGGUGAAAGCAGGGGAUCUUCGGACCUUGCGCGAUUGAAUGAGCCGAUGUCGGAUUAGCUAGUUGGCGGGGUAAAGGCCCACCAAGGCGACGAUCCGUAGCUGGUCUGAGAGGAUGAUCAGCAACACUGGAACUGAGACACGGUCCAGACUCCUACGGGAGGCAGCAGUGGGGAAUAUUGGACAAUGGGCGCAAGCCUGAUCCAGCCAUACCGCGUGGGUGAAGAAGGCCUUCGGGUUGUAAAGCCCUUUUGUUGGGAAAGAAAAGCAGCAGGUUAAUACCCCGCUGUUCUGACGGUACCCAAAGAAUAAGCACCGGCUAACUUCGUG
rnacentral:rRNA from 1 species